GACGCACGAUUCUUCGGAGACUUCGUUCACGCACGAUAGUUAUAAGCGAACGUUUUCACCUAGAUAUUCACCGCGACGACAAACUCCCCAAAAAUAACCACAACUAGAGACUUGCAUCGAUUUUGUCAGGCGUCUCGUGUGUGGACGAAGACAGCGCUACAAACUUCUGUAAAACGAAAACACCUGAUCUUGUCAACACUGAGGUUACAAAAAGUGUCAACACGACCUGUUCGAGAUAGAAUACUUUCUGUCCGUUCAUAGAGAUUCCUAAGACACGAGAAAACGUUUCUAUCUGUCAUAGGAGACAACAGUCUGGUGUACAAAUGGUAUCAAUGGCAAUUCAUGGUGUCACAGUUCAUGAAUCCGCUAAUGGGUUAUUCGAUUAGCACGGAAAAUUGCCGGUCAACAAUGUGUUAACUUCAUUUGUGAAACUGGUCAGGUCAUCAUAACCGAUGGAUAAGCUGAUUACCAACAUACAAAAACUACUUUCUAAUGCUACCGUCGACUCACAGCAGUUCAAUCGUGCGUAGCUCCAGCCCAAUAUGGAUGCGCAUAGAUCGAUUACGGUACGAUCCAGGAAGAAGGAAUGCCUACGCGUGUUUACCUUGGAUCACCGAGUGAUCUUCGAUCUAAUGGCAUGCGCUGCAAACAGGCGUAGCUUCCGCGGAUCCAUAAAAAAGCUUUCAGCAGGGAUUCCAUAUAAACAGGAACACGAAGUUCCAGUAUAUUUAUAGUACGCGCUGCUCCGAUGGUGUAGCAGAGAACAAUAGCAUAGAAAAAGAACACGAAUAAAAUUCGAGCAACCCCAGAUGCGCUCGUCGCACUCUCGUUCCGGCCGGUAAUAUUCGUAACAAGCCUGCCACGAGGAAUGAUCGAUGCGCGAAACACCGGAAACUGUUUCAUGAAUUUUCUUUGAAAUAUGCACAUUACAAAUUGCGCAACGCCCACAGACGUCUGCAAAGAAUUUUACGAUUCAACACUUGCGGUUGCGUACGAGUAGGAAAAGAAUGACGCGAAACACCAAAUUUGGUAAACGCGUGGUGCUUACAUUGUAUAGUUUCCCGUUACGCGCUGUAUAACUAUAUCUAAACUUACCAGUCAUGUUCAAUGCGUGGAAUUAGUUUCAACCGUUCCGUCGCUCUAAUCUCUUGCCCGGAACGGAAAACCGCAACACGAUUUACACGAAACACCGCACGUAAAGGUUUCCUUAUGAUCUUUAACCGCACGUCUAAGUAGAAACAGGACGUUUUUAGACAGACAUACAUACGUAGACUUCAAACCUUUCACCCGACAAAUUAAUAGGAUACAGCAGAAACUAGUUCACGCAACUAUAUUUUUCGGAUACUCUUUUGCAUGGCAACGUGAACUAAGGAAAUAAUGAUUGUCCAAAUUACAUUUAACGAAAGAUCGUGACAACAGUGUGCUCAUCUUCGUUAUCGCUUACAAAUAAUAAACACUGUCGAUAAGGAAGAAACAUCGCGUGGGUAAGACAGAUCUCUAUACGAAAUUUAGUGUUAUGAUUAUCCGAUAGGUGGCGCGCGGGUCUCGGCACCCGUUGCACUAUAUAUUUUCAAUUCGAUUUCGUUCGAUGGGUACAGAGAUCGAGCACAUUCUUUGAAGCAUGCAUUUCCAUAAAAAGAUCGUCGGUAAAUAAUGACUUGAACAAUUAUUUCAGAAAGUUUAGUGUCAAGGCAACCCACGUCGUAGGUGAAAGGUACUGUAGAAAAAAAAUCUUGCGAACUGAUGCACCGUGAGUCAUCUCUUCGGACGGAAUCGAGUGCGUAUCUUAAAAAUAAUCCCCGGACGGUUAUAAUGAUUUUGGGAAUGGUCAAUGACGCGACACGGAAAUGCCAGCACGUUGAGGCGACUAACUUGCGCAUGAACCUUUGAAAAUAUGCCAGAAAUACAAUUUUGACAGCGGUUCAAGUGCGCUAUAAAUUUCUCGAUCUGCGUUCACGAUUUGCAUUAGCAAAUUAACUAACUACGUUCGAGUAGCCGUGACCUGUGCUUCAAUCAAAAGUUAUCGCAUCAAUGGACUCGGUUUUAUUUCUAAACCGAUUAGUGAAUGUAUCAUUACUAGACUCUGUGGAUUUUAUGCAUCUGGAGUAAACAUUCGUACGCGAAAUUCGAUAAACCGACGCUCCAUUAUAUUCGAGUAAUCCUUGCAUUUUAUCUUAAACCCGAAGUUCGUAAACAUGUAGAACUUUAUAAAUAAAUGCGUAAAUCGCUGAUCUGCGUAGAAGCGCAGGAACGCUUAAUUUGCCUGCUUUGAAAUGUUUUGACGCGAGUGAAGUACCGACAAAAAAAGAGAAGUUGCGUGACAGGCAAUUGAGCUUAAUUUAAAAGACCACUAUGACAUGUUAUCGCCCGGCUCUCCCGCGACUGCGGGUUCUAUCGUGAAAACGUGCUGAAUUAGUACCACAAAAAGGGACCACGUCGACGAUCAUUUCUAAUUCAUAUUUCCGACCGGCAGUCUUAUUUGAUAUGCAAGGAGGUCGCACGCACAGUGGGAGGGGGGAAAAACUAUUCAUACAUCGUACCCUAUGAAUUUCAAUUGUCCGACGAUUUCACGGUACAGUAAACAUUAUUUGAAGCAAAUGAUUUCGUAGGCGUUCACUUUUCUAUAAGGUAAACGGCGUAUGAAUACUUUUUUCCAUCACUACGUACGUGCGCGCGUGCAUUCACGGGUAUAUUAGGAAUGAUUCUCGCUCUAACGUCCACUCCUUUCCUACAUCCCCAUUUAGAAAACAAGAACACGUUAAAAUAAGCACGGCGAAGCCGGCGAACGUAAAAGUAAAUGAUCGGAAACUCACAUCCAGGCGGCAGUCCCUUUUUCACGGUGAUUUUGUAGGGCUGAUAGAUAGCGCCCGGAUCUACCUUUCCGUACAUGCUUCUAUCCAUUGCCAUGCUUUUUCGUGAUUCUUAUAAGUUGCACCACUUUACAAUGAUCGCACCGAUAUCCAUCAACGUUUCUCACACACGUGUACCAGAAAUCCGACGAGCGCGCGUAUCAAUAGUACGUAUUAUACUAUUAUGCAGCAGUUUUGCCGCGGCUAUGUUUUCUCUUUGCAGUCUAUCGCGAGCGAGCCAGCUGUAUAGACGAUCGAUAGGUGGCGGGGAUGAUGCACACACCGAACCAACGGCCACUUGUUGAAUGCCGACUGCGAAUUUUACACGUUACAAGCACGCGAGUACCUGGAUUCUCUCGCUUGCCGUCUUCUAUUACCGAAAAAAUGAUCCAUCGACAAUUACUUCGACCCGAUCUCUGAUCCUCUUUGUCGCGCUUUAAACGGGGAUGUACGAGGGAAAGGGUAGUUGUUUCCUUUUUCUACUGUCGCUAACUCUCGACUCGCUAGAACUACCGAACAAUCAUUAUAAUUAUGAAUUUUUUUAUGAAAUUUACAAAACAAUUAUUUUCUUAUCAGCGUUUGCGUUAGAUAAAACAGUCUUAUCGUUACAAUUUUCUUCAGUGUAAGGAGUGUACGUGAGUUUUGAGUCUUAGAAAAUAUAUAUAGUUCAACGUUUGUGAGCCGUGGUAUGCGCAAGCGAACGGAAUGUUUCUACGAUAAAUAUUGGUAGAAAUGAAUUUGUUUCGAGCAAACCGGCAGUUCUAGCGUUGAUACGUCGAAACGAUGGAGGUGUAUACUAUCGACUGUUCCGUGAUGGUGAUGGACCGCGCUUGACCAAGGGAAAACGAGAAGUUCAAACGUGCAAGUGUAUUUCAGGCGCUCGCCCGCAAUCGCGGUCCGUCGAUGCUCUCCCCGCGACGCUAAAAACACGAGGACAACGCCUCUGUGAAUACACUAAAAAUACGUAGAAUCGUUGGCACAUAACAACUCGGAGAACACUGUGGUCCACGAUAUCGCACAGAUUCUAGAAGUAGUCUCUUCCGGUUCGGAGUGUCAUCCCCACAGAACCACGGCUCAAUUAAUUCUUAAUCUGUUACCUGAGGGGAAGAUGAGUUAUGCAUUUGGAGGUUCGACACUGGAUGCAAUCUUCUCCACUCUAAAAAAUAAAAUUAAACAGUUAACAAUGUCUUAAUAAUAUUUCAAAUAUAGUCGAAACGCUAUGAGACAACGAUUUCCGUCAUUCGAGAUUCGACUGAAUCUUCUUGAGCUAAUCGUUCAACUUCAGCUGCGCGUUCAGCAGCUAAUUGUUCGUCCGCUUCUUGGAAUGGGUCAACGAAAACUUGAGCUUUCUGAAUAAUUAUAUCCUCUAUCGGUCUAUCUUUGUUAUCUACAUCGACCUUUUCAAUAGCAUUUAAUGUGUCAAGUCCACCCACUAUUUUGCCAAACACGGUAUGCUUGCGGUCUAAAUGUCUGCAUGAUCGAAACGUGAUGAAACUGUAAUUAAAAUAAAGUGAUUAAAGACAAUGUUUAUAAACAU